UUACGAUGAUGGCAUUACCUGUUAAGAAAUUGUUGAAACUUUUAUAUCCUACAUUGAUUCGUGUAGACGAUUAUCUUUUAAAGCCUUUAGUCAAAGCUGAUGAGCUCAAAAACAUCAUAAGGAGGUUACCAUUGACAACGGAGAGCUUAGAUUCUAGAGGCCUUUAUAUAUUUGAUGAUGGUUUUCACUUUGUAUUAUGGUUUGGUAGAAUGCUUUCACCUGA
rnacentral:misc_RNA from 1 species